UUCUUCUGUGCCUGCUCGUCGCC
rnacentral:piRNA from 1 species